rnacentral:rRNA from 1 species
AUACAGGGCGACAGCCCCUUACACAAAAGUGCACAUGCUGUGAGCUAGAUGAGUAGGGAGGGACACGUGGUAGCCUGUCUGAAUAUGGGGGGACCAUCCUCCAAGGCUAAAUACGCCUGACUGACCGAUAGUGAACCAGUACCGUGAGAGAAAGGCGAAAAGAACCCCGGCGAGGGGAGUGAAAAAGAACCUGAAGCCGUGUACGUUCAAGCAGUGGGAGCACGCUUAGGCGUGUGACUGCGUCCCUUUUGUAUAAUGGGUCAGCGACUUAUAUUCUGUAGCAAGGUUAACCGAAUAGGGGAGCCGAAGGGAAACCGAGUCUUAACUGGGCGUUAAGUUGCAGGGUAUAGACCCGAAACCCGGUGAUCUAGCCAUGGGCAGGUUGAAGGUUGGGUAACACUAACUGGAGGACCGAACCGACUAAUGU